rnacentral:sRNA from 1 species
GGAAUUCGUGAGACCCGCGCGCCAAACGCUGAAGGAUCGCAAACCGGUCUCAUUGGAGUAAGUGCUCCUGGCCUCUCUUUACUGUCUUUUUCCUUCCUUGUUGAAUAUGCGGGAGUCCGAUGGGAUGUGCUACGGGGAUGAUUUCAAAAACUGAACUCUCUCUUUCUGAUGGAUUAGUGGAGAAAACAUAAAAACUCUGAGUAGCACCAUCCGUGGCAAAUGUUUGGGCUGACUCUGUAUGACUUUGCAUCUUUCAUUUCCCUCUAUGUACAAGUC